rnacentral:tRNA from 1 species
GGAAAGGUGGCAGAGCGGUUGAAUGCACCGGUUUUGAAAACCGACGUAGUUUAGACUACCGGGGGUUCGAAUCCCUCCCUUUCCG